rnacentral:lncRNA from 1 species
CAUGUGGUCAAUGCUCUCCAAGCUGGAGCUAGAACCGCUAUCGUGAAUCCCUAUUGGGAGGGGAGGACUCAGCAUGUAUUAAUCACCAGGAAAAUACCAGCCACUGACAGUACAGAACCUCCUGCCUUGCACAAACUAGUUACAAAAUGACCAUUUCUUGACUAGCAAUCAGGGUAGGGCUGAAAAAUUACCACACGGAAAACCUUUCCUUUUAUAGAAAAAUAAAAAUUACAGCUAACAUUUACUGAGCAUCUGUCAUGUGGCAAGUACUUUCCUAAGAGCAACGUGUGCAUGAGCAUGACCUUGUUCCCGGCAAGCCCACUUCAGAGAGGGGAGGGUGGAGAGGGUGGAGAGGCUGGGGGAUACGUGAGUGUGCACCAAGGCCUGGACACAGACCCAGCAGCGAGGCUUCAGGGCUACAUUCCAAACCUAAUGCUUGCAAAACUAAGAGGCCGCUCCAACUCAGAACCAAGACCCUGAGUAAAGAGCUUAACGAGCCAAAAGUAACAGGUGUAUAGAUGGGAAGAAAUAAUAAAGUGGAGACUGAAAUGAGGAAAAGAUGACAGAAAAUAAGUUGAACUGAAGAAAAAGGUGGGCUAAAAAAGGAAUCACAGUAAAAGGCAGUGUAGCUUUAAAGAUUUUAAAUUCAUAUUUAAAAUUAAAUUUAAUUUACCCUCAAAUAUCAUCAUAAAUGCAAAAGUAACAUUUAGGAAAAAAAUCCUAGAACUGUACAUACAUUAGAAUGUUCUAGUUUUGUGGUUGGGUGUGGUGGCUCACGCCUGUAAUCCUAGCACUUUGGGAGGCUGAGGCGAGCAGAUCACUUGAGGUCAGGAGUUUGAAACCAGCCUGGCCAACAUGGUGAAACCCCAUCUCUACUAAAAAUAUGAAAAUUAGCCAGGUGGGGUGGUACUCAUCUGUAAUCCCAGCUACUCGCAAGGCUGAGGCAGGAGAAUUGCUUGAACCCAGGAGCUGGAGGCUGCAGUGAGCCAAGAUGGCACCACUGUACUCCAGCCUGGGUGACACAGUGA